rnacentral:rRNA from 1 species
CCUACGGGGGGCAGCAGUGAGGAAUAUUGGUCAAUGGACGCAAGUCUGAACCAGCCAUGCCGCGUGCAGGAAGACGGCUCUAUGAGUUGUAAACUGCUUUUGUACGAGGGUAAACGCAGAUACGCGUAUCUGUCUGAAAGUAUCGUACGAAUAAGGAACGGCUAACUCCGUGCCAGCAGCCCCGGUAAUACGGAGGAUUCAAGCGUUAUCCGGAUUUAGUGGGUUUAAAGGGUGCGUAGGCGGUCGGAUAAGUUAGAGGUGAAAUCCCGCGGCUCAACUUCGGAAUUGCCUCUGAUACUGUUCGGCUAGAGAGUAGUUGCGGUAGGCGGAAUGUAUGGUGUAGCGGUGAAAUGCUUAGAGAUCAUACAGAACACCGAUUGCGAAGGCAGCUUACCAAGCUACUUCUGACGUUGAGGCACGAAAGCGUGGGGAGCAAACAGGAUUAGAUACCCUUGUAGUC